AUUGAACGCUGGCGGCAGGCUUAACACAUGCAAGUCGAGCGGAGAUGAGGUGCUUGCACCUUAUCUUAGCGGCGGACGGGUGAGUAAUGCUUAGGAAUCUGCCUAUUAGUGGGGGACAACAUUCCGAAAGGAAUGCUAAUACCGCAUACGUCCUACGGGAGAAAGCAGGGGAUCUUCGGACCUUGCGCUAAUAGAUGAGCCUAAGUCGGAUUAGCUAGUUGGUGGGGUAAAGGCCUACCAAGGCGACGAUCUGUAGCGGGUCUGAGAGGAUGAUCCGCCAACCUGGGGAUGGGACACGGCCCAGACGCCUACGGGAGGCAGCAGUGGGGAAUAUUGGACAAUGGGGGGAACCCUGAUCCAGCCAUGCCGCGUGUGUGAAGAAGGCCUUAUGGUUGUAAAGCACUUUAAGCGAGGAGGAGGCUACUGAGACUAAUACUCUUGCAUAGUGGACGUUACUCGCAGAAUAAGCACCGGCUAACUCUGUGCCAGCAGCCGCCGUAA
rnacentral:rRNA from 1 species